GAGGAUUUAGUUAAUUUAUAACAUUAGAUUGUCAAACUAAAAUUAUCAAAAGAUAACCCUCU
rnacentral:tRNA from 1 species